rnacentral:rRNA from 1 species
AAAUUGAAGAGUUUGAUCAUGGCUCAGAUUGAACGCUGGCGGCAGGCCUAACACAUGCAAGUCGAACGGUAACAGGAAACAGCUUGCUGUUUCGCUGACGAGUGGCGGACGGGUGAGUAAUGUCUGGGAAACUGCCCGAUGGAGGGGGAUAACUACUGGAAACGGUAGCUAAUACCGCAUAACGUCGCAAGACCAAAGAGGGGGACCUUCGGGCCUCUUGCUAUCGGAUGUGCCCAGAUGGGAUUAGCUAGUAGGUGGGGUAACGGCUCACCUAGGCGACGAUCCCUAGCUGGUCUGAGAGGAUGACCAGCCACACUGGAACUGAGACACGGUCCAGACUCCUACGGGAGGCAGCAGUGGGGAAUAUUGCACAAUGGGCGCAAGCCUGAUGCAGCCAUGCCGCGUGUAUGAAGAAGGCCUUCGGGUUGUAAAGUACUUUCAGCGGGGAGGAAGGGAGUAAAGUUAAUACCUUUACUCAUUGACGUUACCCGCAGAAGAAGCACCGGCUAACUCCGUGCCAGCAGCCGCGGUAAUACGGAGGGUGCAAGCGUUAAUCGGAAUUACUGGGCGUAAAGCGCACGCAGGCGGUUUGUUAAGUCAGAUGUGAAAUCCCCGGGCUCAACCUGGGAACUGCAUCUGAUACUGGCAAGCUUGAGUCUCGUAGAGGGGGGUAGA